UAUGUGUGUGGCUUGACUCUGUGUGUGUGGCUUGACUGUGUGUGAAUAUUGCAUUUUCUUGAUGGUGUGGCUUGUAUAACUUGUGUUCUAUAUGUCACGAUUGAUUGUUGUUUGUUGAAUGUGAACAGACCUAACACUAUUCUUUUUUCUGAACUUUUUUGUGAUUAUGUCUUAUGUGGAUAUCACUCUUUUUUGUAUUACUGCUGUCUCACGCUUUUCUAAGUAUUUAAGGUGCAGACAUGUGGAUCUGGACAUGUCACAUUUGCUCUUUAUUGUGUUGCUAAGGACACUGAUGGGUUGGUUUUGCAUACAACGCAGUAUGGACCAACAAAAUGAUCUCAUUGCAAGGCGGACAUAUAGGCAACCAAUGUCAAGAGAGGUGGCAUAAUCAUCUGAAUCCAGACAUACAAAGAGAUGCUUGGACUAUUGAGAGGAGGAACAUGCACUGAUUAACGUCCAUCGGGUACAUGGGAAUAAAUUGGCAGAAAGAGCAAAAGUUCUUCUUAGAAGCUAAAGUCAAAGACGACGAACCAAGUGAAUUAAUGG